rnacentral:pre_miRNA from 1 species
UCUUAUGGAUGAGCAAAUAAAAUUGUUUCUUGAGAUGGAAUCUACUCCUAGUGAAGAUGCUGUGAA